rnacentral:ncRNA from 1 species
CUGCGCAGGAAGGGCUGCGCUUUUUUAAAAAAGCGCAGCCCUACAAAGCAGAAGGGCUGCGCUUUUUUAAAAAAAGCGCAGCCCUUCACUAGUAGGGCUGCGCUUUUUUAAUAAAGCGCAGCCCUUCUGUAGGUAAGAAAAAAAGCGCAGCCCUACUAAGUGAAGGGUUGCGCUUUUUUAAAAGCGCGGCCCUUCUGCUUAGUAGGGCUGCGCUUUUUU